UCCGCAGGGGGCGGGGUCCUGCUGCCCGGCAGGACCCCGGCCGGCUCGGGUACGGGCGGGGGCGCUGGGCUCCGGCCCUCCCGUGAUGAGGGAAGGGCCGGCAGCUGGGGCCGGGUUGUCAGGCGCCCGCCAGCCCCACGCGGGGAGCGUGUGGAGCCUGGACCCCGCGCGGCCCCUAGGCUCGCCCGGGUGCAGGGAGGAGCGGAGCGUCCCGCGGCCGGGGCUUAGGGGGCCAAUGUGCCCCACGCAGCUCCCUGCCCCGCUCCCCGCCCCAGCAUCCGCGUUGUUCCCCUGCCUGGCCAGAGCCUUUCCCUAGCGCACCUAGGUACUUACUGCAGGGUGGGGGCAGCCUGCUCCUCCCUCCGCGGCGUGUAGCACCUUACAAGUGCUGCUAGCAGUGAAGACCCACACCUAGAAAUAGCCCCAGGGCAUUGGGUUAAGGGGUUGCAUCAGCUCUCCCCAGGCACACACACACACACACACAAACACAAAAACCACUUGGACCCAGCAACGGGCCUGCAGGAGCUCUCCUGCUCCUCCCAGGACCAGCACAAAAUGUGGCCCAUUCCAGACAUCAGAUCCACAUGAGCACACUGGAGCUCCCCAUGGCAGCUGAAGUCUGGCUGCACACUGCACAGAUUGUGUUGUAGGAUCAGAGCCUGAGACAGUACCUGCCCUAAGGAUAGGAAAGAAAUUUACAAAAAGGGAAGCUUUCAAGACGUUCAGAAAUGCAAGGUGGAUACAAAUCAGGACAAGAAUAGAGAUUGUUUGGACCCUUGCUAAAGGAAUCAGAAUCCUUAAUGGUAAUUUCUCCCCAUAUCUUCUUAUAAAUUAUCUCCAGAGGAUCAAGUUGGAUGCCAACAGGGAAAAGGAAGAAGAUCCCUUUGAAAUUCCCCAAGCAGAAAAAGCCUGGGGAGACUUUAUAAAGUUUAUGAGAUCAGCAGAAUUGCAGAUGAUAGGAGGCCUUCUUGUAGAUAUCCAUGGAUAAACGCACCCUGGGCAAUGGAUAGAACUGGGUUACACCCUUUCAAAAGCAUCAUUCAAUUCAGGGAAGUUUUCUACACCAGGCUCUUCUAUUUGCUAUCUUGUAAACCAGGUGCACAGUGUUUCUUUUGAGAUUUUGCUCAGAGGAUCUAGAAGCUUGGGUAAGUUUAUUGAAGUGCAGGAGAACAAAUGGUACCUUUGUGUUCCUUCUCCAACAAACACCAAGCCAAAACCAGGGGUUAUUAUAGUGGAGGCUAUAUCACUAAGACGUUUGGGUCUAGGUAUACCAGCACUGUCGAUGCCAUUCAGAUUGAGUAUCCCAAGUUUUGUAAAGCUGUAGAAAGGGCUAUAAUAAAUUUCUGGCAAACUAACUGCAGCAGCCAGAGAAAUUAUAAGCUUCUGGGAUGAUAAAAGAAACAGGCCUGUGUGUUAGCAUAGCUACUUUACAAAGUAUAACAAUUGGUCUGAUACACAGGAAUGUGGAUUUCCAUUUGGCUUUAACAUGUUUGGAAUUCUUUAGGAAUAAAGCAGUGGGGACAGUGAAGGAAAAGAUCUAGAAUGCAAACAAAUGGAGUUCCAGUGAUAAAAGGACAGUAAUCUGUAUUGAAAACCCAUGGCUAAUAUCAACAAAGGAAUUAAUAAACCAGUGCUUAUUAGUAGAUCCCAUAAAAGAGACUGGUAACCUCAGUGAUGCCCAGGCCAAACUGAGUGAGCGUAGCUGUAUUUCACCUACCUACCUACUACAUCACUACUUUAUCUUGCUGAAGACAUAUUUGUAGAUUCUGGUAAUUUUGGUACAAUUCCUCCAAAUGACAUGGACCCUCUCUGACACCGAUCCAUACAACUGUUCUGCAAUGAGUGUUAGCAGAAUCCUGAGCUCACUGAAGACCCUUGUGGAAGUUCCCACUGGCUUUAAAGAGUACAGGAUCAAGCUUUUUCGUACUUGGGUUAAGAAUUCAAUGCUUACUGUCGUGAUUGUGGAGCAGAGAGAGAAGCAAUUCUCUCAUUUCCAAUCUGUAGAGAAAAAGGUCUAGAAUACAAUGAACUACAAUAUUCCUGCUAAAGAAUUAUUCUGUCUGCAUUGUGCAAUGCAUAGAUAAAAUGCUAAAAUAGUCUUUAUUGAAAUGAAGUAUCUGUCUCUUAUUAAGAGUAUUUUAAAACAGUUAGGUCCUUGUGCUGUUUGUCAGACAAUGUCUAAUUUUGAUAAUAUGAACUUCAUGUAGACUCUCUGGGAUGGAGAUCAUCAUUUUAUUUUUUAUUUGUCCAGUGCCUGGCACA